CACUCCUGCGGGAGGCAGCAGUGGGGAAUAUUGCACAAUGGGCGCAAGCCUGAUGCAGCCAUGCCGCGUGUAUGAAGAAGGCCUUCGGGUUGUAAAGUACUUUCAGCGGGGAGGAAGGCAAUACGGUUAAUAACCGUGUUGAUUGACGUUACCCGCAGAAGAAGCACCGGCUAACUCCGUGCCAGCAGCCGCGGUAAUACGGAGGGUGCAAGCGUUAAUCGGAAUUACUGGGCGUAAAGCGCACGCAGGCGGUCUGUCAAGUCGGAUGUGAAAUCCCCGGGCUCAACCUGGGAACUGCAUUCGAAACUGGCAGGCUUGAGUCUUGUAGAGGGGGGUAGAAUUCCAGGUGUAGCGGUGAAAUGCGUAGAGAUCUGGAGGAAUACCGGUGGCGAAGGCGGCCCCCUGGACAAAGACUGACGCUCAGGUGCGAAAGCGUGGGGAGCAAACAGGAUUAGAAACCCCAGUAGUCCCACG
rnacentral:rRNA from 1 species